GAGAGCAGGCUACUCCAGAACUGCAGUAUGAUCUGCACCUGUGGGGCUUCCCUGGUCUGUGAGCCAUUUGCUUACCCUGACCAGCAUGUCUGCACUGUCUCAAAUUAAGUAAUUGGCUGCCACAGCACAGAUGUGAUCUGUCCAGCGACCAGCUACUAUGAUGACUGUGGCUCAGCCUGUCCACACACCUAGCAGUGUGGCUGUACUGAUCCCAGAGCAAACUACCACAGACUCAACACCACCUUCUGGACCCCAGAAGACUGCGUCAGCUCUGCCUCUGUGACCCAGCCACCAGGGAGAUACGC